AUGGCGCAAUUCUGGAAGCCCGGGACGGAAAAGCCCGAUGCUCAGGUGGUAGACGACGAAGAAGGCGGCGUUCUCUUCUUACCCGGUUCCAACUCUCUCUCUUCUUCUGGCUAUGGCUACGCUAGUAUAGAAAAACAACGCCAACGAUUACCUGUCUACAAGUACCGUACCGCCAUUCUCUACUUGGUGGAGACUCACGCCACCACCAUCAUCGUCGGCGAAACCGGUAGUGGCAAAACCACUCAAAUCCCUCAGUAUCUGAUAGAGGCGGGUUGGGCCGCCGGUGGACGGCUGAUUGCUUGUACUCAACCUAGAAGACUUGCUGUUCAGGCUGUUUCUUCUAGAGUUGCUCAAGAAAUGGGAGUUAAACUUGGGGAUCAAGUUGGAUAUACGAUAAGGUUUGAAGAUGUUACUAAUCAAGAUGAAACGGUUUUAAAAUUUGUAACUGAUGGGGUGCUCCUGAGGGAGAUGAUGAACGAUCCUCUUUUGACAAAAUAUAGUGUUAUAAUGGUAGAUGAAGCUCAUGAAAGGUCCAUCUCAACUGACAUUUUGCUUGGACUACUGAAAAAGAUCCAACGGCGACGACCGGAGUUGCGAUUAAUUAUUGCAUCUGCUACUAUUGAAGCCAAAUCAAUGGCUGACUUCUUCCGCCCAAGAAAAAAGCGUCGAGAACCUGAAAAUGAGGAGAAUGGACUAAAAGUUGAACCUGCAAUCUUAUCAGUCGAGGGAAGAGGCUUCAGUGUACAAAUUAAUUUUGCCGAGGAACCAUUCCAUGACUAUAUUCAAGCUGCUGUUUCAACAGUACUCUCGAUCCAUGAGCGG